rnacentral:rRNA from 1 species
AUACGUAGGUAGCAAGCGUUGUCCGGAAUUAUUGGGCGUAAAGCGCGCGCAGGCGGUCCUUUAAGUCUGAUGUGAAAGCCCACGGCUCAACCGUGGAGGGUCAUUGGAAACUGGGGGACUUGAGUGCAGAAGAGGAAAGUGGAAUUCCAAGUGUAGCGGUGAAAUGCGUAGAGAUUUGGAGGAACACCAGUGGCGAAGGCGACUUUCUUGUCUGAAACUGACGCUGAGGCGCGAAAGCGUGGGGAGCAAACAGGAUUAGAUACCCUGGUAGUCCACGCCGUAAACGAUGAGUGCUAAGUGUUAGGGGGUUUCCGCCCCUUAGUGCUGCAGCUAACGCAUUAAGCACUCCGCCUGGGGAGUACGGUCGCAAGACUGAAACUCAAAUGAAUUGACGGGG